rnacentral:misc_RNA from 1 species
GGGCAAAGGGACGAGAGAGACUUGAAACUUUAGUUACUCCUUUGGCCUUUUUUUAGCAUUGCGAGAACUUGAGAAGUCUUCCUUUGAGGUUGCUAGCCUACCUUAGACCUACCUUUGCUGUUGAUUCUGUUGUUAGUGGCAUGGAGAAAAAGAUCGAAAAACAAUAGCCAUCAAAUAGAAGCACCACCUUUCAAUCAACAAGCCACCAAUUUGACUCAUUUUUUAGGUGCCAUGUCCACCUGGUCGAAGAAUUUGUCCACCUUUGCAAUCCUAUCCAAGAAUUCUUCUAUGUUGAGAUCCUAAUAGAAUUAGGAAUACGAAUUUUCAAUUGAUUUUCCUUUCUUGAUUCCCAUACGCGCGUCUUCU